rnacentral:rRNA from 1 species
UACCAGCACCCCGAGUGGUCGGGACGAUUAUUGGGCCUAAAGCAUCCGUAGCCGGUUCUACAAGUCUUCCGUUAAAUCCACCUGCUUAACAGAUGGGCUGCGGAGGAUACUAUAGAGCUAGGAGGCGGGAGAGGCAAGCGGUACUCGAUGGGUAGGGGUAAAAUCCGUUGAUCCAUUGAAGACCACCAGUGGCGAAGGCGGCUUGCCAGAACGCGCUCGACGGUGAGGGAUGAAAGCUGGGGGAGCAAACGGG